rnacentral:tRNA from 1 species
GGAAUGUUGUGUGGCUCAGUGGUAGAGUGUCUGCUUGGCAUGCAGAAGGUCCCAUGUUCAGUCUUUGGCAUCUCCA